rnacentral:rRNA from 1 species
UACGUAGGGAGCAAGCGUUGUCCGGAAUCAUUGGGCGUAAAGCGCGCGUAGGCGGCCCCGUAAGUCCGCUGUGAAAGUCAAAGGCUCAACCUUCGAAAGCCGGUGGAUACUGUGGGGCUAGAGUCCGGAAGAGGCGAGUGGAAUUCCUGGUGUAGCGGUGGAAUGCGCAGAUAUCAGGAGGAACACCAAUAGCGAAGGCAGCUCGCUGGGACGGUACUGACGCUAAGGCGCGAAAGCGUGGGGAGCGAACAGG